AUAAGAUAAUCCGCAAAGGGGUCUUCUUUUUUGACAUGAAAACAUAAUGGGGUAGAGUCAACUCUUGCCCGUGGGGCAUAAUUUAUUGUUCGAAAGUCCUUGAGCUAUGUCUUGACUCUAAGGCGAUAGUUGUAGAACAUCUCAUAAACGAAAACAUAACAUGAUAAAGUCAACUCUUUUCCGUGGGGUAUAAUUUAUUGUUUAAAAAUCCUUGAGCCAAGUCUUGCCUAUAAGGUAAUAGUUGUAGAACAUCUCACAAAUGAAAACAUAAUGUGGUAGAGUUAACUUUUGUCUGUGGGGCAUAAUUUAUAGUUUG
rnacentral:lncRNA from 1 species